rnacentral:rRNA from 1 species
CACGCUGUAAACGAUGAGUGCUAGGUGUCGGUGGUCAAACCUCGGUGCCACCGUUAACACAUUAAGCACUCCGCCUGGGGAGUACGUUCGCAAGAAUGAAACUCAAAGGAAUUGACGGGGACCCGCACAAGCAGCGGAGCAUGUGGUUUAAUUCGAUGCAACGCGAAGAACCUGACCAGGACUUGACAUCCCUCGGACCGAAUUAGAGAUAAUUCUUUCCCUUCGGGGACUGAGGAGACAGGUGG